rnacentral:rRNA from 3 species
AGACCCGAAACCCGGUGAUCUAGCCAUGGGCAGGUUGAAGGUUGGGUAACACUAACUGGAGGACCGAACCGACUAAUGUUGAAAAAUUAGCGGAUGACCUGUGGCUGGGGGUGAAAGGCCAAUCAAACCGGGAGAUAGCUGGUUCUCCCCGAAAGCUAUUUAGGUAGCGCCUCGUGAAUUCAUCUCCGGGGGUAGAGCACUGUUUCGGCUAGGGGGCCAUCCCGGCUUACCAACCCGAUGCAAACUGCGAAUACCGGAGAAUGUUAUCACGGGAGACACACGGCGGGUGCUAACGUCCGUCGUGAAGAGGGAAACAACCCAGACCGCCAGCUAAGGUCCCAAAGUCAUGGUUAAGUGGGAAACGAUGUGGGAAGGCCCAGACAGCCAGGAUGUUGGCUUAGAAGCAGCCAUCAUUUAAAGAAAGCGUAAUAGCUCACUGGUCGAGUCGGCCUGCGCGGAAGAUGUAACGGGGCUAAACCAUGCACCGAAGCUGCGGCAGCGACACUGUGUGUUGUUGGGUAGGGGAGCGUUCUGUAAGCCUGUGAAGGUGUGUC